rnacentral:rRNA from 1 species
CGUGGAGACAGGUGGUGCAUGGCUGUCGUCAGCUCGUGUCGUGAGAUGUUGGGUUAAGUCCCGCAACGAGCGCAACCCUCACCCCUUGUUGCCAUCAGGUCACGCUGGGCACUCUAGGGGAACUGCCCCGGUCAACGGGGAGGAAGGUGGGGACGACGUCAAGUCAUCAUGCCCCUUACGUCCUGGGCUACACACGUGCUACAAUGGCCGGUACAAAGGGAUGCAAGACCGUGAGGUGGAGCUAAACCCAAAAAGCCGGUCUAAGUUCAGAUUGGAGUCUGCAACUCGACUCCAUGAAGGAGGAAUCGCUAGUAAUCGCGCAUCAGCACGGCGCGGUGAAUACGUUCCCGGGCCUUGUGCACACCGCCCGUCACACCACGAAAGCCAGCUGUACUCGAAGUCGCUGAG